rnacentral:rRNA from 1 species
UACGAAGGGGGCUAGCGUUGCUCGGAAUCACUGGGCGUAAAGCGCACGUAGGCGGGUCCUUAAGUCGGGGGUGAAAUCCCGGAGCUCAACUCCGGAACUGCCUCGAUACUGGGGACCUCGAGUCCGGGAGAGGUGAGUGGAACUGCGAGUGUAGAGGUGAAAUUCGUAGAUAUUCGCAAGAACACCAGUGGCGAAGGCGGCUCACUGGCCCGGUACUGACGCUGAGGUGCGAAAGCGUGGGGAGCAAACAGGG